rnacentral:rRNA from 18 species
UCUCCACAACCAACUCGGUGAAAUAGUAGUGGCGGUGUAGAUGCCGCCUACCCGCAGCAAGACGGAAAGACCCCGUGAACCUUUACUGCAACUUGGCACUGAUGUUCGGGCGAAUUUGUGUAGGAUAGGUGGGAGGCUUUGAAGCGGGCACGCUAGUGUCUGUGGAGCCAUCGGUGAAAUACCACCCUGAUUCGUCUGGGCAUCUAACCUCGACCCGUUAUCCGGGUCAGGGACAAUGUCUGGUGGGCAGUUUGACUGGGGCGGUCGCCUCCCAAAGUGUAACGGAGGCGCGCGAAGGUCCUCUCAGCCGGAUUGGAAACCCGGCGACGAGUGCAAUGGCAUAAGAGGGCUUGACUGCGAGACCGACAGGUCGAGCAGGUGGGAAACCAGGUCAUAGUGAUCCGGUGGUUCCGAAUGGAA